rnacentral:misc_RNA from 1 species
UACGUAGGUGGCAAGCGUUGUCCGGAAUUAUUGGGCGUAGGGCGCGCGCAGGCGGUCUUUUAAGUCUGAUGUGAAAGCCCACGGCUCAACCGUGGAGGGGCAUUGGAAACUGGGAGACUUGAGUGCAGAAGAGGAGAGUGGAAUUCCACGUGUAGCGGUGAAAUGCGUAGAGAUCGGGAGGAAUACCAGUGGCGACGGCGGCCUUCUGGACUGACACUGCCACUGAGGUGCGAAAGCGUGUGUAGCAAACAAG